rnacentral:tRNA from 11 species
UUUAGCCUGGUGGUUAAGCCACCAGGCUAAUGGUGUGAUUGCUGUAGGUUCAAGUCCGGGC